AGUUCGGCUGUGCUUCUGAGACCCGCAAGUACGGCACCUGGAUAGCAGCUCAUUCACGCUUUUGGCCAGAGCAUCGACCUUCGCGGCGACGUCGUCCACACGCUCAUGGAGUGAGGCUGAAGGGCGUGACGUGAGUGCACAGCAUGGGGCCUCACCGUUACAGAAACUAUCCCACAACUUAAAGCGGCUGAGGGAAAAGAACGGAGUACCGGUGGCAAUCUCGGCACCAAACAAGCUCUAUAAGUUGUGCAGGAGAGUGAACUGUGAGGUACCUGACGCUGGGUGCCACAUUAAGCACACGAACCAGUAUGUAGAGUGUCCUGAAAAGAAGAACAUCAACGAACAAAUAAAUAACAAAAUGCACACCGUCAUGUCCAAGUACAGCAGGAAAAACGGAAGCGGAACUAGAAAGAAAAAUGAAAGAAUCUUAUCAAUCAACUUAUUCUUCCAAGCAUUUCUGCAAGCAUCCGGGUGAUUUAUGGGUCAAGUAGCGAACAGGAAUGCCAACCGAAAACUCCUUCAACAGCCCAUUGCUGGAAUAUCGGAUUACAGGCGUACAGAACUUCACAGAGAAAUGAAAGGGCCUAC